rnacentral:rRNA from 1 species
AACGAGUGGCGAACGGGUGAGUAACACGUGGGUAAUCUGCCCUGCACUUUGGGAUAAGCCUGGGAAACUGGGUCUAAUACCGAAUAUGACCACGGGAUGCAUGUCCUGUGGUGGAAAGCUUUUGCGGUGUGGGAUGGGCCCGCGGCCUAUCAGCUUGUUGGUGGGGUGAUGGCCUACCAAGGCGACGACGGGUAGCCGGCCUGAGAGGGUGUCCGGCCACACUGGGACUGAGAUACGGCCCAGACUCCUACGGGAGGCAGCAGUGGGGAAUAUUGCACAAUGGGCGCAAGCCUGAUGCAGCGACGCCGCGUGGGGGAUGACGGCCUUCGGGUUGUAAACCUCUUUCACCAUCGACGAAGGUCCGGGUCUUCUCGGAUUGACGGUAGGUGGAGAAGAAGCACCGGCCAACUACGUG